rnacentral:lncRNA from 1 species
UUCAAGAAUUUCUUCCAUUGUUGAGAAAAAUUCUCAUCAAGAAAUUAUCAACAAACAGAUCUAAAAAUAUAAAAUAUAAAAUAUAACAGUGUACUAUAUUUGUUACAAACUCAACUACAAUCUAAGAACUUUGAUACAUACAAACAACCACAAAUUCAGAUAUGAAAUGAAGGAAAAACUAGCAAAACAACUAUAGUAAGGCGAGAUUAAGAACAAUGUCAUGCAAGAGCAGCAGUUGCACUGCUCACUGAGAUCAGCAGUUGCGACGCCCACAUUGACCAGCAGCGAUGGCCAAGGGAGAGGGAGAGCGACGGUCGCAGAAGAGGGAGAUAAUAUCAUGCAAGAGCAACAGUUGCACCGCCCAUGGAGAGCAGUAGUCGCGACACCCAUGGUGACCAGCAGCGACUGCAGUGGAAGAGGAAGAGCGACGGUCGAGAACAUUGUCAUGCAAGAGCAACAGUCACGUCGUCCAUGGAGAGCAGCAGCCGUGAUGCCACGGUGACCAGCAGCGAUGGCCGCAGAAGAGGGAGAGCGAUGACUAUGGAAAAGGGAGAGCGAUGGCCACGAGAGAGGGAGAGCAAUGGUCGCGGAAGAGGGAGAGCGAUGACUGCUGAAAAGGGAGAGCGAUAGAGGAUAAGAAUGACAGUCGGCUGAGCGAAGGGA